ACAAACUUGGUCAUUUAGAGGAAGUAAAAGUCGUAACAAGGUUUCCGUAGGUGAACCUGCGGAAGGAUCAUUAGUGAAUAAACUUGUGUGGGUUGAUGCUGACCUCCUCUGAGGUAUGUGCACACCUGCCAUUGUUUCAUUCUUCCUUCCACCUGUGCACUCGUUGCGGGUCAAGCUGCUAGAUUGCUCAGGUGCCCUAGCACCUGGUUUGAAGGUCUGCAAUUUAUGCUGCCUUUGUGUCUCAUUCAGCUUGACCUGUGUUUUUUAUCCACACCGUUUGUGUAUGUGUUUAGAAUGAUGGACUUGGGUUUGUUUAUCAUCCCAUAAAACAAUUAAACAACUUUCAACAACGGAUCUCUUGGCUCUCGCAUCGAUGAAGAACGCAGC
rnacentral:misc_RNA from 1 species